rnacentral:rRNA from 1 species
UACGUAGGUGGCAAGCGUUAUCCGGAUUUAUUGGGCGUAAAGGGAACGCAGGCGGUCUUUUAAGUCUGAUGUGAAAGCCUUCGGCUUAACCGGAGUAGUGCAUUGGAAACUGGGAGACUUGAGUGCAGAAGAGGAGAGUGGAACUCCAUGUGUAGCGGUGAAAUGCGUAGAUAUAUGGAAGAACACCAGUGGCGAAAGCGGCUCUCUGGUCCGUAACUGACGCUGAGGUUCGAAAGCGUGGGUAGCAAACAGG